rnacentral:lncRNA from 10 species
GGAACAGGAACUCAGACUUUCACAUCUUUGUGUGUGUGCUCUUUGUGUAGAGGCCUCUCCGGACCAGUCGGCUUCUAUCAUGGAAAUCAUUCUGUUUCCCGCUAAAAGGCGAAAGAAAAUUCACCCACCGAACCACAGCAAAUUGCAGUGACAGUGUGGAGACCCCAGAGAGGUGCCAUAUUGAUUAAAAUGUUCAAGUUAGUAAGAAAGGAAGAGAGAAGAAAGGAACCGUGUAGACUCUUUAAAGAUAGGGACGGAGAGGAGGAGGAAUAGGGGUGGAGGAAAACAGGGAAAGGAGCAUCCACCUCUUGCAGCCUGUCCCCCUGGAGACCUUCCAACAUGAUCGCUGGGCACGCUGCGAGAAAAAGCAUCUAAGGUGCAGAGGGCCAGGCUGGAACUGUUGCCCAUCCCUGCACUCGCGCAUGGCAGAUGUGCAUCGCCGAUGCACUUCGCAGCCCUCCGCUGUCGCCCCCUUGUGCGGAGCAAUACUGCGAGGUGCAGCCAGGAAUCUGCAGAGCAGACCCUACCAGUGUAGUGGACAGUGGACAGCUGGAUGCCAUCUGGAGGUGUAGGUACAGCCCUAGUCCGAAGGGGGUUUGCAGGAAGCACUGAAUUUUUCUGAAUGACCUUGGGAAUAAGGAUCCAUCACAAGUGUCAGCUUAAAUGGUUCCCUGCAUUAACAGUCAUCAGUAAACAGAGUAGCAAUGGCUCACAUUGUGUCACAGUGCUUGACAAAGUGCAUUAUUUCAUCUAGUCCUUGCUGCCUCCCAAUAAGGGAGAGAUUUUUGUCACUGUUUUGUGGAUGAAGAAACUGAGGCUCAAUGAGGUUCAGUGACUUACCCAGGAGACAGGAAAGCACAGUGCCUUGCCUUGAAUGAGGUCCCAGCACUCCAGGCUCAUAAAGCACCGUCUGAAACCCCAAGGAAAAGUGGUCUAACUCCUCCGCCUCCCUUCUACUCCUCUAUGUGGCAAUGACACUGACUCUCCCACCCUCAUAGACCAAGGUGGAGCUGGUCUGACUGUAAUGCUCCUCACGUGCUCUCCUGGUUGUAUGUGAACUCAAUUGGAACGGGCUCCAGUAUCAGGAUUCACUCAACAAAUUUUUUUUUUGAAUUCCAACUAGAAACUGGGAGAUUCUGUGAUUUUAAAAAAUCCCAGGUCAAAUGGGCCAGGAAUUUUAUUAUUUUCCCCACUGAACAGAGAAAACAAGAGAAGCUCAGAAUGAGACAGCUGCCUCAGUCACAGCACAAAUCAGUUAGUCUAAAUUCAAGACUUUUUGCACCCAACAUGUCACCUGCAUUCAGGGACCAAGCUCUUUUGCAGAGAAGUGGGAGACUGGACUGCAUGACCUUGAGUACUCCCCUUGACCCUGGGGCUCUCAUGGAGGACUGCGGCAGACUUGGAGGUGUUAGGGCUGUGAUUCCUCCAGACUUAGUCUGGUGGAUAAGUAGUUGAAUGGGAUCUCAGAGACUUUGGCUCUAGGCCUGAAUUUUACCAGAGGCUGGAUGCGUGACUUCAGGCAAGUCGCUUCACCUCUCUGGGAGUUGUUUUCCUGAGAGUGAUCUGAGGGGUGGGAUGGGAGGGUCUCUUCUUCCUGCUCCAUGUGCUGGCCCCAGAGCCAGGUGGCCUCAUGGGUUUGCUCUUCUGUGCUGGUUGCUGUUGAGGGUGUUGACUGAGUUCAUCUGUUUACUGAGACACAUGCAGCUGUCCCCCCUUCAAUUACUUCAUCACAGGCGCUGACAGACCCUCCGGGGCAGGGGUCUUGGCACUGCCUCGCUAGGGAGCAUCUCCAAUCAUUGCCCGUCCUCAUCAAAUUCAGAUUUAUGGAGUGUGAGGGCAGAAGAGGCUGAGGAAGGCCACGGAACACAUGGUCUCCAGGCCCCUCAGGAGCUUGUGCUCUGCUCUAGGGCCAUUUCCCAAGACACUCUGUCCAGCGGGUCAGUAUCAGGGUUCUCACCUCUCCUAGGGCAGACAAACUCACCAUUUUAACAAGGCCACUCAGCAGCUUUACCCCAGCAGUGGUACAAAGCCAGACAUGAAGCUCGUGUACUAUUUCUGUUUUGUCUGUAUUUUUUGGACCACCAAUUAUGCUAUGGGUGUGAUGAAGACCAAUAUGCAGGAGAAUCUUGAAUCUAAACAAAUUACAUCAGCUUUAUCCUCGAGUAAUGGUAAUACCAAGGGACAGUGUUUUCAACUCGUUAUUGUGUGCCAACCAUUAUUCUAAGUCCUGUACAUACUUUUACUCAUUUACUCCUCCCAAUCAUCCCUGGAGGGUGGAUUGAUUAACUCUGUUUGACUUACAAUACAGCCAUGCCUCGGAGUGCAAGCUGCUUGCCUGGGAUUUGGACUGGAAAGGUUGUAUGCCUCACUCUUGCCCAUGUAUCCCAGUUUAGUUGGGGUAACACAAACCAGUAGCAAACAGAAGAGUCCACCAACAAGGGCUAAAAUCGAGUGGCACAGAGUACAAAUGUGCGGGUGUUGGAAGGAAGGAGAGAGCACCAGAGGAUGGGGCAUUUGGGAAGGUUGGUUGGGGGCUGCCCUUUCCAGGAUGAGUAGGAUUUAUCCAGAAUAGUAGAGGAAGCAGAUUCAUAGCAGGGAAGAGCCUGAGUGUAGUGAGGUUGGAGUAGGAUCUGCGUGGUGAGUGGAAAAGAAAGUGGGGCAUGUUUCAUUCUCAUCCCUUCUGUCCCCUCCCUCGUGGCUUGAUGUCCAGGGACUUCUGUCUCUGUGGAUGGGUGUGCAGUGGGGAUUUCAGACAAAGGCCUGCUUUCUUAUGGGAGACAAGAAAGAUAAAGAGAAUAUGACCCCAAAUAUUUUCUGAGCCUCUCUGCAUAGUUGGUGGACACUAGUUUUCAGGUAUUUUUGUUCUUGGGGCAGAAUUUCAUCCACUACCUUUGAGAGCUAGAAAGUAGAAGGAGUUAAAUUGCACCCUGCAUUACUGCACUAAUUACACAGUGAAUUUUCAGUCCUGGUUUGCUCUUUGACACACCCUAAGCAGAAUUCUUGCCUAUUCGGAUGACAGUUUGUCCUCAGGCAAUGCCUCACACCCUGCUCUGUACCGCCAUUCAGAUGGACAACAGAACAGUAUGUAUCUUCGGUGAACCCAAAGGCAGUGCUAGACGUUGGUCAAAAUUUGGCAGCAUGUCUAAGAAGGGGCUGAGGUGCACGUGUGCUCUGUGACUAAGGGAUGGGAGCCAAGCCCCAGGGCUGAGUGACCGGAAUCCAUGCCAGUGAAGGCCAAGAUGGGCAGCAGAGUGGACUGGGGGCAGAAGAUGCCAGGUCAUUAGCAAACCAGAGACUUCAAGGACUGGAAUUCCAGCUUGUGGUUUUAGGUAUUACCACUAACCUAUGCUGCCACCAAGUGCUCAUUUUACCAGCAAAGGCUUCUUAGAGCCAGGGCUGGAGAUGCCUCUCUCCUCCAGGCUUGCCUGGCUUCCACCACCCCUGCAACACACACAGCACACACAUUCAGAAAUGGGAAAGGUCAAACCGCAAACCUCCCUGACUGCUCUGUCCCCAUGGCUUUAUUUUUAGGCUAGAAAAGACCCUUUCCUCUUCUGACUCAUGAUCCCGCUGACAAAUAUUCCCUUAGUAGAGAAAGCUAAAUAGAAUCAUUCCUCAUGUCACAUUCUCUUGAAUCAAAGAAGCUCUUGUGACUGGAGCCUGUUUUGUCAUUCUGCAUGCUGCAUGCACCCAAUGUCCAUGCUCUGUGGACACUUCUUCAGACCAGGACACUAAGGCCAAAGAAGCCACUCCCUCCCUCCAACUAUACCGACCUUCCCUCUUGCCCCCGGCCCCCACCAAACUAAGGCAGUUUCUUGUAACAUCUUGGGUGAUGUUACUGGACAUUUUGCUCAGGAGUCACUCCUUUGAUGGCAGAGCACCCGCAUGUCAGAGAUGACCAGAGAUAUAAAGGGGACUGGGGAAACUGAGGUAAACUAUUGACUUAGUCAGGACACUCUCAAGUACUGUCUUAGCCCAUGAAAUUGCAGAGUGUGUUGGAACCAAAAAUCCCUUGCUGAUGAGACCUGGAUAGCAGACUCAACCCUGAAUUGUGAUUUUGGCUAGUCCUGGUGGCUUUUCUGAACCUCAGUUUCACUAUCUUCCAAUCUAAUCUUUAGCCCUGUGAAGUCCACAUGUUUCUCCCAUCACCUUCUAGGCAGUUUAUUGCUCACAGAUCCUUCCGUAGGGAGUAAAAAUUAAGGCAUGGAUAUCCAGCAUGUCAUUUCCCUAUAUCCUCUUCAUAUAGAAAACUGACUAAAUUAUUUUUAAAAGUUUGAGACUAGAGGCUAAAACGAAGAUACCUGAAUCUCCUGUGAGUUUCAGGUCUCAUGUCAUCUGUCACUAUAGAGAAAAGACACUUGGUUGAGAGCAUCACAAACUGUUGAUUUGAUCUGAUCCACCACCAAAAUGGCUCACAUUCUUCCAGCAAACUUCUCCACAUUCAUGAUUUUAUAUAAUGUUCAUGACAAUCCUGGGAGAUAGGUAUUUCUGUCCUCAUUUUACAGAUGAGAAAAUUGAGUUUCAGGAGAGACUAAGUCUUUUGCUCAAGACCACUGAGCACUUGUAUGACUUAGGACUGUCUUCAUCCCAAGUCUUCUGACCUCUAAGAAUCCUUCACUGAGUCACCAUGGAACAAACAUCUGCCACACCGGGCACUAGGAAUUCCUAUGACAAUGACUUUCUAGAGGUCCUGGCCUUUCAUGUGCUCCCUCACCUUUCCUGGGAAAUUGUCCUCCGUGGUUGCAGAGACCCAGAAUUGCAGGUGGGAAAAGCCAGGCGCACAGCUGGUUCUCCCACCAGUCUCCUUCCUUUGCUCCCAUGGAAAAGAAACCCAAUCUCUCCAGCCCAGUGUUUGGGCUCCCGAGAGCCUCAGCCUACAGUGGCUGAUUGAAUUAUCUUUAUUGGCCUUAUUACCAUUGCCAAACCUCUGGGGAGGUGAACCAGAUGUCCCCAUUUGACCAGCCAUUGCAGUUGUGUUCAGCAAUGUCCAGCUGUUCCAGGCUUCAUUCACAGAGCAUCCCAUUUAUCUUGGAUUUCUUAGUGCCAUAAUCAAGCUGCCAGGGGAGAAAAGGAUGCUCCGUUCCUGACAUCAGGGGGAAAAUAUGAACCAGGAAUCUAGAAAAUGUUGCUAAGCAUUGUUUUCUUCCCAGCAUGCACCCAGCCCUCCCUUUGCUCCCCACUGAACCAAGGAGGUAUGCUUUGCUUUCCUUCCUUGAAGAACCUGAUCCAGGCAUCUCUCCUUUCAGAAAAGAUUUUCUAAUCAUUCCUGAAAAUCUGCUGCAUUUUAAGGUCAAUCCCACUAAGUGAUUAGCUCUUGGGUUUUAGUUCCGUGUCUUUGGAGAAUUAGGAUAACACAGCUGGAUGAAUAACUCAGCUUCAAAGAUCACCAAAAAGAGCUUUAAGCCCCGGGAACUCUUGGGGACCUUCAGCCCUUCACCUUCCCUUCCUACCCGAGUGUGAUUUCAUAUUUAUUUCCAGGACUGGGAUAAAGUGCCACUCCAGCUUGAUUGUGAUCAAGGUAGAGAAGUCAAGUUGUCACAGAUUCAGUGCCUAAUGUGUGCUGAGGCAUUGACAAGAAACUCACACUGUUUAAAAAGUGGAGGGACCUGUGUUUUGUUCUGACUGUGCCUCAGACAUGCUGUGUGGUUGGAUACACACUAGGGGUGUGCUCAUCUCACAAAGAUUUGGGGGAAUAUUUUCCACCCAUCCUAAUACUAAGGGGAGUCCCAAGCUGACUUAUAUAAGCAAUCCAAUCUUGCACCUCUGGAGCCAACUUAACGUAUCACGACUUGGGUACUGACCCAGACUGGACCAGUCAGAGUCCUUUCCCCAAGAACUUGGGCUUGGAACUAGGAGAGCCCACCUCCCUUGGGCUGGUCUCUUACACUGGUGAGGGGUGCCGAUGGCAGCCUUUUUGUCUAUCACACGAGCUGGAGAGCAGAGAUGGCCCUGAAGAGAGAGGGGAAUGAAGGGGGCCUAGAGAGAAAUAGCUGCCCCCAGAAGUGACAUAGAAAGGAAAAGAGAUGACCACGGGAAGCCAGGCUGUCAGCUCUCUGCACCUAUGCAUUUUUCUCUGGGAAUUCAUUUGACUCAGCUUAAAUAAAAAAGGUGAUUUAUGAAAGAUGUUGAAACUAGUGGGUGAAAGUUUACAGCGAAAAAGUAUAUGUGCAUGAUCUCAAAGCAAAAUUUGUUAAUGACAAAUGGAAAAUAGUGACUGCACAGUGAAGAAGCUGGCAAACACCAUCUUAAGAAAGUAAUUGAGGUUAACUUCACCAGUAAUGAGAUGCCUCAGAGUCGUGUACCACCUGAUGUGCUGCACUGAGAGGGACAGGGGAGCGUUUGGUGGUAAUGUUUGCAAAGUUCCAUAACCUCAGUCCCAUCAUGAGAAACAUCCAGAGACCCAAACUGAGGGACCUUUUACAAAAUAUCUGGCCAAUACUCUUUCAUGAUCUCUGUCAAGAUCAUGAAAGAGAAGGCUCAAAAACUGUCUCAGAUUGAUGAGACAUGAAAAUUAAAUGCAACAUGGGAUGCUGGAUUAGAUCCUGGUAAAGAGAAAGACAUUAAUAGGAAACAUGGUGAAAUCUAAAUAAAAUCUGCAGUUCAGCUGAUAACAUUGCAUGAAUAUUUGUUUCUUGGUUUUGCUCGCUGUGUGAUGAUUAUGUCAGAAGUGAACAUUAGACAAAGUUGGGUAAAGGAUGUGUGGGAAUUCUCUGUACUGUUAUUGCAACUCUUCUGUAAGUCU